UACAAGUUUGGAAGCACUGAGCAGGCAGGU
rnacentral:piRNA from 1 species